CAAGUAUUAAAAAAAAAGUUACAAAUGUUUAUUUAUACAAAAAGAUUAUGGAUGUGGUACCGCAAGUAUAUUCAAUUGAAUAUGCAAGUAAGUUGUCCUACUUUACAUCUUUGAAGACUAAUUAUAUUUGUAAUGAACAUAUCUCAAACAAUAUACACUCGGAUUUACAUUCUAGUUAAACCAUCACCACUUCUACAUCCACCUUGUCUCAAGCAUUCUAUUGCAUUCUAAGAUAUCUUUAUUCAAAUCAAGUGUGACUACUAUACUAAAAGACUGUAGAAUGGACCAAUCGAGUAAGAUGCUUAAACUUAAAUCUUUUAUAUAGACUCCUUUACUUUUAAAUAAACCUGUUAAUUUAUGACUUAUGAACAUAUUUAGCAAUGUAAUCUUUUUAGAAUAGACUUUUUAAAAUCAAUUUUACAAUGCUUUACUAAAUUUUUAUUUAAAAUAACUUUGCAUACAUAAUAUAUCUGUAUAGUUAUUAACAUUCUAGAUAAACCAUCAGUACUUGCAAAGUCUCCUUUUCUGUUAGCCCGAAAAUCUAUUUCUAAAAUACCAUUAUUCACAUAACUACUAUAUCAAAACACAAACUAAUGGAUUGAUCAAUGAAACUGUCGGUAUCUCCACAACUUUUCAAUUGAAUAGAAAGUUUCAAUCAAACAGGAUACUGAGUGUGCCUACUGCUCCUCAAGAC